ensembl:lncRNA
UCAUUAACAGAGGUAGGUCUUUGUUUCCACUCAUGUCCAUUGUAUCUCUCUGUCAGUGCGUCAGAAGUCGUGUGUGGGGCGUCUGGGCGGCCGAGUGGAUGGCGUGGAUGCUGAGCGGGAGCGGCUGCUGGUGCAGGGUUUGAGAGAACGCUGUGAGGAACAGGCCCGGCAGAUCACCUCCCUCCAGGACAAACUCCGCAAAGCCUCGCUUUGUAUGGAUGUACUUGCCAUCACCACACAGCAGUUCUGCCACAAGAGUGAGAAUGCCGAGGUGAAGGAGAGGGAGCUGUCCCUGGAGCUUUCUCGGAUCAGGGAUGAAGUGGGUAAGUGGCACUGAGGCUGCUCUGACUCAUCCUGUACCCACACUUGCCUCCAUCAUGAGGUAGUACACUGGAAAUGGUAGCAUGAUGUCAAGAAGUUAACCAGCUUUUAUAAAAGAUUCAAACUUGAUGACAUCCAACAGACCACCCUUUACUUUUGUCUACUGUUGAGUUGUUAUUUUAUCUUACUAUAAGCUAUAUAUAUCGGUGCUGUCCAAAAAACAUGUAUCUGCAGAAUAGUAACUUUACAGGAAAGUGCAAAAGUGUUC